CCCCCUGUGGGCGCGGCUUCCUCAAUCCGCCCCUGUGGUGGGUGUGGUUUCUUUGCACCUGCCUCCACGGGGCAGUUCCUCUCCAGCUGAAGGAGGAAGUGCUGGACCAGACCCCAGCGUGGUGCUGCCAUUCCAUCUUCCAAGAUGUCACCUGGAAAGCUCAGGCUCUGGGUGCUCACCUUCUCUGACUCCAGGUAAAACUGUUACUCCAUUCACUUCAGAUCUGUGAGUCUCGGCAUUCUCAUCCCCAUAACCCACCCCACCUCUCCACCCUCACUCUGCCGCUUCUCGUCACUGCACACCUGGGGGGGGGCAGGAUCGGGGCGCUGCACACCAGCCGUCCUGACCUGAGGGCUCACCCCACUCGUGAUGUGCUCUGCUACAUGACUGCCUCUCAUUAUUUGUGUCUCAUGGACAUCAGCUCACAGACUCAUUUGGGUCCCAAACAGUGCGGUGUGUUUUAGGAGAGGAACACAUUUACUAACAAGAGAUUUAUGUUGUUUACAGUGGGUUUGCUCUCCUCAAGUGUUGUCCUCGCCAGGAGUAGGUUUGCAAGUGGAAGACGGAGGACAGGAAGAAGAACAGAUGUGCUUCCAGCCUGGGUGUCUCACAACCCUCCCGAGGGCAAGAAGACACAAGGAGGACCUGGUGUUUUCAUGCUCGAUGCUGGCUGCCUCCAGAGGGCCUUGCUGGGUCCACACCUGGAAUCUGUGGACUCCAGGUGCCCUCAGAAUUGUCUCGGUGCUUUUCGUCCCACACCUUGGUUGUGGCAUGCUCCCUGCAUCUCCUUGAUUUCUACCUUCUCUGGCCCCCUUCCCCACUUAUCAUUUCUAACUAUGCUGGAUGCAUAACUCUCUGCUGCCUGUAC